GACGAACGCUGGCGGCGUGCUUAACACAUGCAAGUCGAACGGAAAGGCCCUGCUUUUGUGGGGUGCUCGAGUGGCGAAAGGGUGAGUAACACGUGAGUAACCUGCCCUUUACUUUGGGAUAACUUCAGGAAACUGGGGCUAAUACCGGAUAGGAGCUCCUGCUGCAUGGUGGGGGUUGGAAAGUUUCGGCGGUUGGGGAUGGACUCGCGGCUUAUCAGCUUGUUGGUGGGGUAGUGGCUUACCAAGGCUUUGACGGGUAGCCGGCCUGAGAGGGUGACCGGCCACAUUGGGACUGAGAUACGGCCCAGACUCCUACGGGAGGCAGAAGUGGGGAAUAUUGCACAAUGGGCGGAAGCCUGAUGCAGCAACGCCGCGUGAGGGAUGACGGCCUUAGGGUUGUAAACCGCUUUCGCCUGUGACGAAGCGUGAGUGACGGUAAUGGGUAAAGAAGCACCGGCUAACUACGUG
rnacentral:rRNA from 1 species